UACAGCCACGUGAGUGAGUCAUCUUCGAACAGUGAAUGAGAUUCAAGGAUUAUACACAUUCUUGUCAAACUUAAUAAUACCUGUCAUUUUCAUUUGAACUUUCUGAUUGUUUUGGUGAUGAUGGGAUGCCGUCUCAGAGAUAUGACUUCAUUAAACACAACAG